AGAGUUUGAUCAUGGCUCAGAUUGAACGCUGGCGGCAGGCCUAACACAUGCAAGUCGAACGGUAACAGAAAGCAGCUUGCUGCUUUGCUGACGAGUGGCGGACGGGUGAUUAAUGUCUGGGAAACUGCCUGAUGGAGGGGGAUAACUACUGGAAACGGUAGCUAAUACCGCAUAACGUCGCAAGACCAAAGAGGGGGACCUUCGGGCCUCUUGCCAUCGGAUGUGCCCAGAUGGGAUUAGCUUGUUGGUGGGGUAACGGCUCACCAAGGCGACGAUCCCUAGCUGGUCUGAGAGGAUGACCAGCCACACUGGAACUGAGACACGGUCCAGACUCCUACGGGAGGCAGCAGUGGGGAAUAUUGCACAAUGGGCGCAAGCCUGAUGCAGCCAUGCCGCGUGUAUGAAGAAGGCCUUCGGGUUGUAAAGUACUUUCAGCGGGGAGGAAGGGAGUAAAGUUAAUACCUUUGCUCAUUGACGUUACCCGCAGAAGAAGCACCGGCUAACUCCGUGCCAGCAGCCGCGGUAAUACGGAGGGUGCAAGCGUUAAUCGGAAUUACUGGGCGUAAAGCGCACGCAGGCGGUUUGUUAAGUCAGAUGUGAAAUCCCCGGGCUCAACCUGGGAACUGCAUCUGAUACUGGCAAGCUUGAGUCUCGUAGAGGGGGGUAGAAUUCCAGGUGUAGCGGUGAAAUGCGUAGAGAUCUGGAGGAAUACCGGUGGCGAAGGCGGCCCCCUGGACGAAGACUGACGCUCAGGUGCGAAAGCGUGGGGAGCAAACAGGAUUAGAUACCCUGGUAGUCCACGCCGUAAACGAUGUCGACUUGGAGGUUGUGCCCUUGAGGCGUGGCUUCCGGAGCUAACGCGUUAAGUCGACCGCCUGGGGAGUACGGCCGCAAGGUUAAAACUCAAAUGAAUUGACGGGGGCCCGCACAAGCGGUGGAGCAUGUGGUUUAAUUCGAUGCAACGCGAAGAACCUUACCUGGUCUUGACAUCCACGGAAGUUUUCAGAGAUGAGAAUGUGCCUUCGGGAACCGUGAGACAGGUGCUGCAUGGCUGUCGUCAGCUCGUGUUGUGAAAUGUUGGGUUAAGUCCCGCAACGAGCGCAACCCUUAUCCUUUGUUGCCAGCGGUCCG
rnacentral:rRNA from 1 species